GGUGGAGCCCCCUGGAGGUCCCGUCCUUAUUGCCAUUGGAAAUGCUUUAAUUGCCUGGUAAGGGUGUGUCUCUCAAAGGUUUCCAGACUAGACUUUAUUUAGUUAAGAUAUUUUGCAAAAUUGCUCUACUCUUUGAAAAUAUCCUUAUUAUUGCAGAUACUUCGAUAUGCAUCCUUUUGCAAUUGUCUUCCAUGUUUACAGCUCAUACAAAAGUCGCAUUUCUUUCGAUGCCUACACCCGAAACGAUCCACACAUGUCAGGAGCAAAAUCAAAUCAUCUGUGACUUUUCAAUGAGUCUGGGCAAAAUAACGUAAACAACUGCAAUGGAAUUUGAAUGCCUUGUAAGUGGAUACUUGGACAGCACUUUCGGCUGUCAUUUGUUCGAAAUAAAUAAGGAAAAGGAUCGCUUCUGCCAGUUACAGCUAAAGAUUCGGGUGCCUGAAAAAUAAAGCAAUUAAGAGUCUGCUUCUGUCACUAAGAGAGAGAGAGAGAGAGAGAGCAUGCCUGACGAACAAUAAUAAAAAAGAGGAAACGAAAUUAUUGCCAACACAUGGAAGAGAUUCUAGACACAUGAAACUGCAUGAACUGCAGGGAGACAACCACUCCACUCUACAUUCUGCUCAAUAAAAUAUUUGCCUUCAUUUGCAUUCAUUCUGAUUGAAAGUUCAGACUUCAGUCUUCAGUCUUUUGUACAAACUGAAUGAGGAACAGGCGCGACUUCCUUCCUGGACCAACUUCCUCUAUAAAAUCAAAACAAGAGAGAGAUGACACAAAAGGGAAAAGUUCUGCCCAUUAUCCCAUUCUCAGCCUCAACGCCGCCGUCGCGACUAAAUAGCUGUUAUACUCUGAUGAGGCGACGCCGACUGUCCGCUCCGCACGGCUCGGCUCGGCUCGUCUCGGCUCGUCUCGGUUCAGAUCAGUUCAGUUCGGUUGGUCUUGGAUUGGAUUGACUCAGCACACAGGCAUAGCAUCAGCCUGCGACUCCUUGACUCGGAUCUUUGGCACAUAAAACAUGUUAAUGUUGCAAGCUGCAAUUUUCAGCAAGACUCGCUAGCAG
rnacentral:lncRNA from 1 species